GAGUUUGAUCGUGGCUCAGAUUGAACGCUGGCGGCAGGCCUAACACAUGCAAGUCGAGCGGAUGACGGGAGCUUGCUCCUUGAUUCAGCGGCGGACGGGUGAGUAAUGCCUGGGAAUCUGCCUGGUAGUGGGGGACAACGUUUCGAAAGGAACGCUAAUACCGCAUACGUCCUACGGGAGAAAGCAGGGGACCUUCGGGCCUUGCGCUAUCAGAUGAGCCUAGGUCGGAUUAGCUAGUUGGUGGGGUAAUGGCUCACCAAGGCGACGAUCCGUAACUGGUCUGAGAGGGUGAUCAGUCACACUGGAACUGAGACACGGUCCAGACUCCUACGGGAGGCAGCAGUGGGGAAUAUUGGACAAUGGGCGAGAGCCUGAUCCAGCCAUGCCGCGUGUGUGAAGAAGGUCUUCGGAUUGUAAAGCACUUUAAGUUGGGAGGAAGGGCAGUAAGUUAAUACCUUGCUGUUUUGACGUUACCGACAGAAUAAGCACCGGCUAACUCUGUGCCAGCCGCCGACGG
rnacentral:rRNA from 1 species